CGACGGGUGAGUAACACGUAUCCAACCUGCCGUCUACUCUUGGACAGCCUUCUGAAAGGAAGAUUAAUACAAGAUGGCAUCAUGAGUCCGCAUGUUCACAUGAUUAAAGGUAUUCCGGUAGACGAUGGGGAUGCGUUCCAUUAGAUAGUAGGCGGGGUAACGGCCCACCUAGUCUUCGAUGGAUAGGGGUUCUGAGAGGAAGAUCCCCCACAUUGGAACUGAGACACGGUCCAA
rnacentral:rRNA from 1 species